UAAAAACUCCAUGUGGUGGAACCUUUAUUUCCUUUUCUUUUACUUGGAAAAAAAUUAUGUCAUUAAUUAAACUAUUUCUUCAACUGCAGGAUCCCUUCCAUUAUCAAAUAUAUGUGUAUGUUUCAUUCAUCGUUCUCUUUAAUUCUAGGGCUACACAUGUUGUGCCACAUUCUGUUCUCAUUUCAACUGUUAUGAAUUCUGAUUUCUUUGAAUUAACUGGAAAUACUCUGGGUUUGUACCAGGUUAAUAAAACAGAAUUUGCCUCAUCCCCUAUAUUCAAAACUAAUAGAUCAUUAUGCUAUAAAUGUGAUUUGUUGAACUGGAUUUUUUUGUUGUUAUUUUGUUUUGAAAACUGAUUACUGACAAAGAUUGAAAGUGUACCUUAGAAUCUAAGUUACAUUCAUGAGCCAUUGUGUGAAUAUUAAUUGACUUUAAUUGUUAUUUACCUAUACUCAAGUUCUUACAGUCUUUUGGGAAAAAAAUUAAAGCUCUGCUGUGCUGGUAUCCCUGCUUCUCAUGCUGGUUCAUUGGUGACUGUGCACUGUAGAAUGGAGAUCAAAGUCUAUUUAAGAAAGCAAAGAGGCUUGUGUUGUGAAGAGCAGGCCUGUAAAACAAAGGCUCACAUGGAUUCCGUACACAUUAGUGUAAGUAUCAGAACAUUCACAGCACAUCAGAACCUCAUUAGGCCUAAAGACUCUCUACAGAGAAAGUGUGGGCAGACCUCAGGGCUUAAGACACCGGUUUGGACAUAGUGAAGGCGACUCUUCAAAUAGCUACAAGAGAUAUUCUUCUGUUAGAUUUCUGUCUAAAACUGUUAUUACUGCACGUUCCUCCUCUGUUUCUUCUUGUCUUUCCCAGAACUUAAGUAGAAAAUUUUGUAACGUAGAGGUUAGUUAUUUCUCUCCUGUUCAUUUAAUGCCCUGAUAUGUGACAAUUUCUACAGAUGAAAAAAAAAAAAAGACAAAAUACUCACUGGCUGAAUAUAAGUAUUACUUUCACACUGUAAGUGAAAGAGUGUUGGACAGUUUUUCCUGUACAGAAAGCUGAGUCAAAUCUUUGCAUAGAAAUAUAAGGAAGUCAUAUUUCUGGAAGUCUCAUUUAGGUUGCAUGACAGAGACAAUUCAAUCAGAAUUCUGUUACAGAAAACUGCAUAUGUAAGUUCUAUAUGUAAACACAAAUUAUCCAACUUUCUUAAACACUACAUAAUAAUUUCUAUUAUUUUUCCACAAGUGUUGUUGAUGAUGUUGAUGUUCUCUUUGUCAUAGCAUUAACAUAAUUCCUGCGUUACACUGUUAGAUAUAAUGAAACAUACUGAUAACUGCCUACCCAUAGUCUAUUUAAAUUUAAAAAUGUAUUUUUAAACAGAAUAUUAGGUUACAACUCUGCAAAACUAAAUUUAAAAAAUCUCUUCUACUGUAUCUUCCAAACAUCUGUCAUUUGUUCUUGUUCAGAAUUCCUUGGAAUUUGCUUUCAUUUAGAAAAGGUAAAAUCCCAUGAAGACUAUACUAAAUCUUGCAAAGUAAAUGAAGCUGCAACUUUUCUGGUCUACAAUGAAUAUAAAAAGAUGAACUGCAGAGGCAUAACCUACUUCUCUAUUCAUAAUAGUACUAUUACUUGUCUCCUUUCUCUGCCUAAACCCGAAACAAGGCUCUUGAGUUGUCAGCUUCUGAUGUGUGCGAACAGAACAAGGUAGGAGGUGGUAUUUCUGCUAUACUGAACACAAUGAUGGGAACUUUAUAUUUUAUUUUCCCACACCACAAUAGAUCUCUGUUGAGUACAUAUGAUUUCUGUGUUUUGCUACUUUCACAUGCUUAACAAAUUCCCUAGUAUUUGUUUCAGUUCAUUUAAAAAAAUAGUGCUUAUGGUCGUAUAGAAAUUCUAAUCAAUAUGCUGCUUUUCUUUAAGAGGUAAGGUGAAUGGUAUAUUUUUAGGUACAUGAAACUGUGUCAAAGUUGGCCUGUAUGAGCUCUUACUUGGCUAUUGGUAUAUUGAUAUUCUGCUAAUUUGAAUUCUGCCUUCUGAAAUUCAGAGAAUAAUUUUUAACUUUCACAUUAAAAAAAAAAUCUGUCUUACAGAUUAAAAAAUAAAGACAAAAAUGAGAUUUCUGGACAAAUUUGGUCAAAUAGGCCAUAUCCUUUCGGUUUUAAAAAUUCUUCACUUCUCAAGUCCAAUCAAGAAUUGCUGCAGUAAUCUUUUGCUCAGUUUUCACAGAAUCACAGAAUGGCUGAGGUUGGCAGGGACUUCUGGACACUAUCUAGUCCCACCCCCCUGCUCAAGCAGGGCUACGCAGAGCAGAUUGCCCAGGACCUUGUCAUGGGAACUUUUGAAGAUCUCCAAGAGGGAGACUCCACAACCUCUCUGUGCAACCUGUAGCAAUGCUCCAUCACCCACACGUGAAAAGGUCUUGAGUGUGGCUCUCGUGUGUAACUUUCAUCCAAGUUUGACUAGCUGUUCUGUCAGCAGAUUUAGUAUCACCGUCAUCAUUAAAGCUUCUUCAGAUAAUGCCAGGGAAAUAGAUAAUGCAAAGUGAUAAAAAUCACUUACUUGGUAAUACAUAUAUUUACAAUUCCUUUGUACAGUCUAUUUUUUUAUAAUCUUAUUAAACAGUGAGAUAUGGUACUGUUGUAUGUUGCUGGUGAUCUAAUCCAAUGUUUAGCUUUUCUGCAAAUAUACCUGAUCUUGUAGCAUGGAAAAAAGUAAGAGUAUUGAGUUUAUUCUUGAUUACUGGAGCA